rnacentral:rRNA from 1 species
AAGAAAAAAUUUAAUUAUUUUGUAUGUUUUUAGGUUAUUUAAUAUAAAUAAAUUUAGAUUUAGGAGUUUUUGUAUAGUUUAUUGAUAAAAUAAUGUUAUUUAUAGAUAAGUAGUAUUGAAAAAGAAUAUUGAAAUAUAUUUUGUUUAUUAAAAAGUAGUAUUAAUUUUGUGUACCUUUUGUAUCAGGGUUUAUUAAAAAAUAAUAAAAAAUUUUUAUGUUUUCGAAUUUAAAGGAGCUAAAUUUGUAAGGGAGUUUUUGUGUUAUAAAAAUUUUAAAUAUAAAUUUAGUAAUGAAAUGUUAUUCGUCUUUUAAGAUAUCUAGUUUUUUAAGAAAUAAAUUUAAUUUAUAUAUUAAUUUUUUAAUUUUUUAAUUUUUAAAUGAAUUAAAAAUUAAUAUAAAUAUAUUAAGGGAUAAGCUUUAAUUUAUUAGAAUUAUAAUUAUUUAUAAUAUAAUUAAUUGUAGAUUUAGAAAUAGUUAACAAUAAAAAGUUUGUAUUAAUUUAUAAGGUUAUAAAAAAUAUUUAGAUUAAUUUAAUUUUAGUAUUAAAAUAUAAAUUUAAAUAAUUAAAAUUUAGUAAUAAUGAUAAAAUUAGUAUAAGAGAGUUGUUUAGUUAUAAUUUUUAAGAAGAUUAUUUUAAGGAAUUCGGCAAAAAUAAUGUUCACCUGUUUAACAAAAACAUGUCUUUUAGAGUAUAAUUUAAAGUCUAACCUGCCCACUGAAUUAAUUUGAAGGGCCGCGGUAUUUUGACUGUGCAAAGGUAGCAUAAUCAUUAGUCUUUUAAUUGGAGGCUUGUAUGAAUGGUUGGAUGAAACAUUAACUGUCUCAAUUUAAUGAAAGUAGAAUUUAAUUUUUAAGUUAAAAAGCUUAAAUUUGAUUAGAGGACGAGAAGACCCUAUAGAUCUUUAUAAUUAAUUAUUUAUUGUUAAUAUAGUAGGUUUAUUUUUCAUUAAUUAAUUAAUUAUUUUAUUGGGGUGAUAAAUAAAUUUAAUAAACUUUAUUUUAUAAGAACAUUUAUUUAUGAAUUUUUGAUCCAUUAUUAGUGAUUAAAAGAUUAAGUUACCUUAGGGAUAACAGCGUAAUUUUUUUAGAGAGUUCUAAUCGAUAAAAAAGUUUGCGACCUCGAUGUUGAAUUAAAGGUGAAUUUCAGGUGUAGAAGUUUGAAAUUUUGGUCUGUUCGACCAUUAAAUCUUUACAUGAUUUGAGUUCAAACCGGCGUGAGCCAGGUUGGUUUCUAUCCUUAAUUUAAUAAAAUGUUUUAGUACGAAAGGACCAAACAUUUAAAAAAUUUUUUUAAAUAAGAAUAAUAUUAAUA